CACGCUGCCCAGCCAGAAAGGAGCACCAGCCCCCAGCCGUCCACCUCUGGCUCACUGCAUUACCCUCCAGAGCCUCACAUAAGUCUCAUCCCCCCACCGACGAGAGGAGCUCCAGCCCCCCGAGGUCCAACUCUGCUCAGCAAGCGAGGACGUCCCGGCAAAUCUCCACCCCGGGGGAGAAAGAGCAGAGUCAGGGAGGAGAUGGAUCAGAGGCCAGCAGCAGGGACAAGGAUGUAGGGUCUUUACAGAUGUUCAGAGGGAGCUGAUGCCACAUCUGGUCCAGCUGAUGGAAGGUCUUGAAGUUCUCUGACUGAAGAUGGUCCUCUCACUGGAUUUAAGUUUCAGAUGCUCAGGAACAAACUCCACCAAUGAGCCAACAGGAAAGCUUUAGUUUUAUGAAAUGUUGCUAUGAAGCAUGAAGACUAAACUCUCCACAAGGACCCAAAAUAAGUUGGACUUCUACAUGAGAGCUUUAGUUAUUCUUCAUCUACUUCCUGAAAAGUUUGGUCAAUAAAAAAGACAAAAACUAAUAUUUUCAGCUGAGCUAAAGACAGACUUUGUGAUUUUUCUGCUCACAUGUCUAGGCUUGCGCUAGCCGAUCGCCACAGCGCCAUUGGCGCAUCGUUUUGCUGGAUGGCGCAGUCAUUCUGAACUGUGUGAGCCACAGUGGCGCUCUAUUUUUCUUGUAAAAAGCAUCAAAAAAAGGGUUCGACUUACUUUUUAUUCCAAUCUCUCGGCAGGCGUCGGAAAUGGUCGGAGUCACCCGAAUCUUGAUCACGCGCCCGGUGUUGUAGAAUUUUCACACUCCCCGGAAAAAUCUGACUCCCCCUUCGCGUGAACGCGCGCGACUUCCGUUUCACUCUGUGGCCACUUGACGGGUUUUCUGUUGUACGUUUACUGUUUUUGUUGUUGUUUUCUACAGGUUUUCGAGUUAAAUGUGAUUAAGUACCGAACUGCAGACAUGUUUUCCUGUUAAAUAUGAUUAGGUGACAUGUUUCUCCUCCUCUUCUCAUCCGUAUGUGCGCACCCUAAAUGGCAUCAGGGGAGAUUCUACACUACUCUCAGCUUCACUCCUAUGAGGACAGCAGGACAGGACAGGGUGUAGUCGCCAAAUAUUGUUUAUAUUCCAUCAGUGUUCUACACGUGUCAAUAAAAUAAUUGUUCACUGAGAAAACUGAGAAAAUCGGACUCCCCUAAGAAUGCAAGAUAUGGCAUCAAAAUAUGUCUGGUAUUUAUGUAUAAAGUCUUUAAUAUAAGUAUAGUUCUUAAGUAUAAAGUCAUUUGUUAUUGUUGUUAUUUUUAUUGGGCCAGUAAACAAUAUAAUAGAAUUGAAAUUCUUUAUUUAUCCCACACCUGGGAAAUUAUUUGCUACAACAGCUAAAACACCAAAUCACAACAAUUUUUUAAAAAAAAACUAGUAAAUUACAGUCUGUAAGAACAGAAUAAUAAAAUAAGGGGCUAAAUGAUCACAGUAUGGCAUAUUAAGAACAGAGAGACUAUUUCAAAACUAGGACUUUAACAGAAAUAUGCAGGUUGAGUUAACUGCACAUUGUAUGAUAUGAAAUAAAAUCUGGAGUCAGAUUUUGUAGGGUCACUUAACAAAAUCUGACUCCCCUAGAGGAGGUUUUUGUUGAGUUUAUGCUACAGUUGUGAGAUAUGGUCCAUAGUGAGGGUUGAAGAAUUGGACAUAGGAGGAAAAGAAGGUAAAUUGGACAUGAAAUUAAUAUUUUUAUGGGUCAAAAAGUUUUGAUCAUGAACAUGUUUCAGGUACAGGUUUUUAAAUGGCCAAAUGCAUAUAUACAUGGAAAUGUGUCUUCACCCCUGA